rnacentral:rRNA from 1 species
GAAUUAGGCAAGAAAUAAUUUCGCCUGUUUAUCAAAAACAUGUCCUUUUGUAAUUUAUUUAAGGUUUGACCUGCUCAAUGAUUUAAAUAGCCGCAGUAUUUUGACUGUGCUAAGGUAGCAUAAUAAUUAGUCUUUUAAUUGAGGUCUGGAAUGAAUGGUUUGACGAAAAUUAUACUUUAUUUUUGUAAUUUAAUUUGAAUUUUAUUUUUAAGUUAAAAAGCUUGAAUUUUGAAGAGGGACGAUAAGACCCUAUAGAUCUUUAUUUUAUUUUUGAUUUUUUUUUUUUAGUUUAUUUUUAAAAUUUUUAUGAAUUAAAUUUUGUUGGGGUGACAAAUAAAAUUUUAAUCUUUAUUUUUUUUUUUACAUUUUUUUAUGUCUGUUUGAUCCUUUAUUUUGAUUAAAAGAUUAAGAUACCUUAGGGAUAACAGCGUUAUAAAUCUGGAGAGUUCUUAUUGAUAGAUUUGUUUGCGACCUCGAUGUUGGAUUAAAAGUUUCUGUGGGGUAGGUUUUACAGUUUUAGGUCUGUUCGACCUUUAAAAUUUUACAUGAUC